GCAGGAUGUAACCUUUGUUUCAUAGGCCCUCUUAUUAAUGUUUAUUUAAUCCACUAACUUCUUGUUUAUUCAAUUUAAGUAGUGCAAUUAUAUGAAAGGAAAGGAGAAAGGAUCAUUUAUCCAAAUAACAGAAGAUCUAUCAAUUUCUUAUUCUUACUCAAUUGCAGCUCCUUUUAUCUCAGAGAGUGGUUUGGAAAUGAGUGCUCCUCUUUGGAAUGGAAUGGAUGGCCAACUUAGUGAAGACCUCACCUUUUCUAGAUAUAUGAGCCAUUUGUGGAGGAGACAAGCAGAUGCAGGACGUGCUUACCCCGUAGAAAAUGACAGCAAUGACAACUCUAUCCUUUAUUGAUGAAGGAGAAUUUGCCCAGAAAUCUUUGGUUAGUAUUAAAAUCAGUAUAUUGCAAUGGUAAUAUCUGUUCUGAAAAUAACAUUGACAUUUAUAUAUAGCAUUGAUAAUUCUUUUACUUUUUUGAUAAUAACCCUGUAAUCUUUAAGGACCUCAGAAACUCGGUUCAUGGUCUUGCCUAAAAUGGAGAAUGAAUUGUACAUGAUUCCUCCCUACCUCGCCCACCCUAUCAAUCGUAUUAUACCAAUGAGAACAGCAGCAUGGUAUUCAAUAUUCCAGUGUUGCACGGGUCCAGAAAGGAUCAUUACAUGGUACUGUUGGUGUACAACAUAGUAUACUGUGUAACAUAAAUUGACCCCCUCAAAUUGAACAAUGUGGCAGAUGGGAACAUAUCUUUCCUCCAGGGAGGUAAGCCUCAAGCUGCUUAUGUUGUAAUUUGGAACCAGACUCUGAAAAUGUAAGCAGGAGAAGGACUACAAACUCUCCAUGUUUUCAAGGUAAUAAUUGCACUUCCCAUGUAUUCUUGCUAGGUUUAUGAGACUUAAAGCAGCAGUAAGAGAUAAUAGAAAGAUAUAUGGAGCUGACCUAAAACAAUGAUCAGUGCUGGUCAGUGCAAUGAUGUUAAUAUACUGAUAAUGACAGGUAGGAAUGAUGUAUGCAGUAUGUUUGUUCUGGUUCAGAAAGUCAAAGAAACUAGUACUUACCAAAUACAUACAAAGUGUCAGGCAACUUAAUGUGUACUACCUUAUUAAACACUCAAAACCACUGUGUAAGGAAAACACAAGCUACCCCCAUUUUAAAAUCAAGGAAACAGACUCCAAAAAUUUAAGGAACUGAGACAAGCUCUCAGAAUACUUUCCUUGACAACACACUGUCAGUCUAGAAAACAGACAUUUCAAAGGUAUCAUGAGCACACACUGUAACAGAGCUUCCAAUAGAAAUAUAAUGCAAGCCACAUACAUAAUUUUAAACUUUCCAGUAGUCACAUUUUAAAAAGGAAAAAUAAACGGGUGAUAAUUUUUAUAUUUUAUUUAACU
rnacentral:lncRNA from 12 species